GAUGAACGCUGGCGGCGUGCCUAAUACAUGCAAGUCGAGCGAACAGACGAGGAGCUUGCUCCUCUGACGUUAGCGUCGGACGGGUGAGUAACACGUGGAUAACCUACCUAUAAGACUGGGAUAACUUCGGGAAACCGGAGCUAAUACCGGAUAAUAUAUUGAACCGCAUGGUUCAAUAGUUCAAGACGGUUUUGCUGUCACUUAUAGAUGGAUCCGCGCCGCAUUAGCUAGUUGGUAAGGUAACGGCUUACCAAGGCAACGAUGCGUAGCCGACCUGAGAGGGUGAUCGGCCACACUGGAACUGAGACACGGUCCAGACUCCUAAGGGAGGCAGCAGUAGGGAAUCUUCCGCAAUGGGCGAAAGCUUGACGGAGCAACGCCGCGUGAGUGAUGAAGGUCGUCGGAUCGUAAAACUCUGUUAUUAGGGAAGAACAAAUGUGUAAGUAACUAUGCACGUCUUGACGGUACCUAAUCAGAAAGCCACGGCUAACUACGUG
rnacentral:rRNA from 1 species